ACUGGAAACUGGAUCCUGGUCUUGGUUCCAGAGUGGGUGGAAGACGGCGAGACCUCAACCAAGCUGCGGCAGUUCAUGGGGUCUGCGGUGGUUAUGGUUUCUAGUGGAGUGCUUGGAGCCUUCGGAAAGCACUAGGAGCAUGCGUCAACGGAGGUACCCAGUCGAUCCGUUACAGUGCAGAGUCCCAGACCUCUUUAUAUAGAUC